GACGAACGCUGUCGGCGUGCUUAACACAUGCAAGUCGAACGGAAAGGCCCUGCUUUUGUGGGGUGCUCGAGUGGCGAACGGGUGAGUAACACGUGAGUAACCUGCCCUUGACUUUGGGAUAACUUCAGGAAACUGGGGCUAAUACCGGAUAGGAGCUCCUGCUGCAUGGUGGGGGUUGGAAAGUUUCGGCGGUUGGGGAUGGACUCGCGGCUUAUCAGCUUGUUGGUGGGGUAGUGGCUUACCAAGGCUUUGACGGGUAGCCGGCCUGAGAGGGUGACCGGCCACAUUGGGACUGAGAUACGGCCCAGACUCCUACGGGAGGCAGCAGUGGGGAAUAUUGCACAAUGGGCGGAAGCCUGAUGCAGCAACGCCGCGUGCGGGAUGACGGCCUUCGGGUUGUAAACCGCUUUCGCCUGUGACGAAGCGUGAGUGACGGUAAUGGGUAAAGAAGCACCGGCUAACUACGUGCCAGCAGCCGCGGUGAUACGUAGGGUGCGAGCGUUGUCCGGAUUUAUUGGGCGUAAAGGGCUCGUAGGUGGUUGAUCGCGUCGGAAGUGUAAUCUUGGGGCUUAACCCUGAGCGUGCUUUCGAUACGGGUUGACUUGAGGAAGGUAGGGGAGAAUGGAAUUCCUGGUGGAGCGGUGGAAUGCGCAGAUAUCAGGAGGAACACCAGUGGCGAAGGCGGUUCUCUGGGCCUUUCCUGACGCUGAGGAGCGAAAGCGUGGGGAGCGAACAGGCUUAGAUACCCUGGUAGUCCACGCUGUAAACGGUGGGUACUAGGUGUGGGGUCCAUUCCACGGGUUCCGUGCCGUAGCUAACGCUUUAAGUACCCCGCCUGGGGAGUACGGCCGCAAGGCUAAAACUCAAAGGAAUUGACGGGGCCCCGCACAAGCGGCGGAGCAUGCGGAUUAAUUCGAUGCAACGCGUAGAACCUUACCUGGGUUUGACAUGGAUCGGGAGCGCUCAGAGAUGGGUGUGCCUCUUUUGGGGUCGGUUCACAGGUGGUGCAUGGCUGUCGUCAGCUCGUGUCGUGAGAUGUUGGGUUAAGUCCCGCAACGAGCGCAACCCUUGUUCACUGUUGCCAGCACGUUAUGGUGGGGACUCAGUGGAGACCGCCGGGGUCAACUCGGAGGAAGGUGGGGAUGACGUCAAGUCAUCAUGCCCCUUAUGUCCAGGGCUUCACGCAUGCUACAAUGGCUGGUACAGAGAGUGGCGAGCCUGUGAGGGUGAGCGAAUCUCGGAAAGCCGGUCUCAGUUCGGAUUGGGGUCUGCAACUCGACCUCAUGAAGUCGGAGUCGCUAGUAAUCGCAGAUCAGCAACGCUGCGGUGAAUACGUUCCCGGG
rnacentral:rRNA from 1 species